GAUGAACGCUGGCGGCGUGCCUAAUACAUGCAAGUCGAGCGAACGGACGAGAAGCUUGCUUCUCUGAUGUUAGCGGCGGACGGGUGAGUAACACGUGGAUAACCUACCUAUAAGACUGGGAUAACUUCGGGAAACCGGAGCUAAUACCGGAUAAUAUUUUGAACCGCAUGGUUCAAAAGUGAAAGACGGUCUUGCUGUCACUUAUAGAUGGAUCCGCGCUGCAUUAGCUAGUUGGUAAGGUAACGGCUUACCAAGGCAACGAUGCAUAGCCGACCUGAGAGGGUGAUCGGCCACACUAGAACUGAGACACGGUCCAGACUCCUACGGGAGGCAGCAGUAGGGAAUCGUCCGCAAUGGGCGAAAGCCUGACGGAGCAACGCCGCGUGAGUGAUGAAGGUCUUCGGAUCGUAAAACUCUGUUAUUAGGGAAGAACAUAUGUGUAAGUAACUGUGCACAUCUUGACGGUACCUAAUCAGAAAGCCACGGCUAACUACGUG
rnacentral:rRNA from 1 species